rnacentral:rRNA from 1 species
GACGGAGGAUGCAAGUGUUCUCCGGAAUCACUGGGCGUAAAGCGUCUGUAGGUGGUUUAAUAAGUCAACUGUUAAAUCUUGAAGCUCAACUUCAAAAUCUGAGUCGAAACUAUUAGACUAGAGUAUAGUAGGGGUAAAGGGAAUUUCCAGUGGAGCGGUGAAAUGCGUAGAGAUUGGAAAGAACACCGAUGGCGAAGGCACUUUACUGGGCUAUUACUGACACUCAGAGACGAAAGCUAGGUUAGCAAAUGGG